GGGGCGAUGGAGGUCACGUGAUACGGGCGGGCGGGCAGCGCGGGCGCUGCUGGGAAUAGAGCGGGAGGGGCGCGCGCGCGAGGGGGCGGCGGUUGACGGCGUCACCUCAGGAUAUAAUCUUCUGCAAUGAAUAAACGGAAGUUAAAGGACAGCAGUGGUUCAGAUGGGGAGUGCAUCUCGCAGGUGCAAAAAAUGCUACGUGAAAGACUGUGUCACCAUCAUGCUAUGGGAAAAUUGUUUGGGAUGGGUCAGCAGUACAAG